rfam:Gossypium raimondii chromosome 1, whole genome shotgun sequence.
AGUCUAUGGUGUGGGCACUUCCCCAUCAUUGUCUUGAAACGCUCCCACUCCUCGUACAAGGUCUCACAUUCGUAUUGGUUAAAGUUGGUGAUUUCUCCCCUGAAU